rnacentral:rRNA from 1 species
CCUACGGGAGGCAGCAGUGAGGAAUAUUGGUCAAUGGGCGCGAGCCUGAACCAGCCAAGUAGCGUGAAGGAUGACUGCCCUACGGGUUGUAAACUUCUUUUAUAAAGGAAUAAAGUGAGGCACGUGUGCCUUUUUGUAUGUACUUUAUGAAUAAGGAUCGGCUAACUCCGUGCCAGCAGCCGCGGUAAUACGGAGGAUCCGAGCGUUAUCCGGAUUUAUUGGGUUUAAAGGGUGCGUAGGCGGUCGGGAAAGUUAGCGGUAAAAGCCCGGGGCUAAACCCCGGCGAGCCGUUGAAACUGUUGAACUAGAGACUGCUAGAAGUACGCGGAAUGCGCGGUGUAGCGGUGAAAUGCAUAGAGAUCGCGCAGAACUCCGAUUGCGAAGGCAGCGUACCGACGCCGUACUGACGUUGAGGCACGAAAGCGUGGGUAGCGAACAGGAUUAGAUACCCCGGUAGUC